rnacentral:rRNA from 1 species
GUAGGUGGCAAGCGUUGUCCGGAAUUAUCGGGCGUAAAGCGCGCGCAGGCGGUUCUUUAAGUCUGAUGUGAAAGCCCACGGCUCAACCGUGGAGGGUCAUUGGAAACUGGAGAACUUGAGUACAGAAGAGGAAAGCGGAAUUCCACGUGUAGCGGUGAAAUGCGUAGAGAUGUGGAGGAACACCAGUGGCGAAGGCGGCUUUCUGGUCUGUAACUGACGCUGAGGCGCGAAAGCGUGGGGAGCAAACAGGAUUAGAUACCCUGGUAGUCCACGCCGUAAACGAUGAGUGCUAAGUGUUAGGGGGGUUUCCGCCCCCCUUAGUGCUGCAGCUAACGCAUUAAGCACUCCGCCUGGGAGUACGGCCGCAAGGCUG